UGGUGCCACCGCCUUUCACUCCCUGUUGUUGGAGCUUUCGGUGUCUCUUGAGGUCGAGCACCUUUUCUCCGUUGACUACUUAGUGUAGAAGAGAAGUCUUACGUUGUGACAAUUAAUAACACCACCCAAGUACUUCAAUAAGUGUAUUAAGUUAGUUAUAUGUGAUAGAAUAUCUUAUAACAAACCUCAUCAAAAUUGCUUUACUAAUAGGGGAAGAAAAAAAACUCGACCCAAAGCUACAAAAAUAAUAAUAAGGAACGUGUAGAACAAUUCAAAACAUUCAGAAGUAUUACAUGGAUAUUUUUUUAAUUUUGAAACAAAUCAGUCUUCGGAACUAAUCUAAAUUUUAAACACAAUAACUUCUUAAAUCGGCAUCGCUGAAAUAGUUGCAGCAGAAGCCAACUUUGGGGAACAAGAAUUCAAUGUACUCCACAGUCUCGUAAGUCUACGCCGGUUACUCCAAGAAAUCUGGGAAGAUCUGGGAAUGUCAGCGGGGCCUUGUACAGUGACAGUGGACGGGAGCAGUUCGUCGAUGACGAUGGAGGAAGAAGGCCCAACGACGAGUCGUAAACGGACUCGCAGUUGCACUUCAGAGUCAUCAGGCCAGAGUGUAAGUGACGAAAGUGAGUUUUUACAUGCGCCGGAGCCACUGGAGGAGAAUAUGAAUGUCUCUGGAAACUUUCGAAAUCGCCGCCGUCCAAGCUCUGUUGGCGCUGCAGGGAUCGAUCAGCUUCCCUCCGUUGAGUGAGAUGGGCAUCGCUGAAAUAAUCGCCGCAGAAGCCUUAUUACAGCUUCGGGGAAACGGAAUUCAGUGUCCUCCAAAGACUCCUACGUUUCAGGAAACAGAAGAUCUGGGUAUGUCAGAGAGGCCUUCUUCAGUAACAGUGGACGAAAGCAGUUCGUCGAAGACGACGGAGGAAGAAGGCCCAACGACGAGUCGUAAACGGACUCGCAGUUGCACUUCAGAGUCAUCAGACCAGAUUUUAAGUGACGAAACUGAGUUUUUACAUGCGCCGGAGCCAUUGGAG